rnacentral:sRNA from 1 species
GACAUUGGACGGGGCAACAGGUAUGAACACGCAGGCGUAUGCGUCGCAGUGUGAAUACCUGUCAGGAUUGCGGGAGUGCAACGCACGGAGCAAUCCGCUGCUUAUA